rnacentral:rRNA from 1 species
UACGAACUGUGCGAACGUUAUUCGGAAUCACUGGGCUUACAGGGUGCGUAGGCGGCUCAACAAGUCAGGUGUGAAAGCCCCCGGCUCAACCGGGGAACUGCGCUUGAAACUGUUAGGCUCGAGUCAGCUAGAGGUACACGGAACUUCCAGUGGGAGCGGUGAAAUGUGUUGAUAUUGGAAGGAAACACCGGAGGGCGAAAAGCGGGUGUACUGGGG